UACGAGGGGGGCAAGCGUUGUUCGGAAUUAUUGGGCGUAAAGGGUGCGUAGGCGGUUUGUUAAGUCUGCUGUGAAAUCCCCGGGCUCAACCUGGGAAUGGCAGUGGAUACUGGCAAGCUAGAGUGCGGUAGAGGGUAGUGGAAUUCCCGGUGUAGCAGUGAAAUGCGUAGAGAUCGGGAGGAACACCAGUGGCGAAGGCGGCUACCUGGACCAGCACUGACACUGAAGCACGAAAGCGUGGGGAGCAAACAGG
rnacentral:rRNA from 1 species